CUUAACACAUGCAAGUCGAACGAUGAACCAGGAGCUUGCUCUUGGGGAUUAGUGGCGAACGGGUGAGUAACACGUGAGUAACCUGCCCUUGACUCUGGGAUAAGCGUUGGAAACGACGUCUAAUACCGGAUACGAGCUUCCACCGCAUGGUGAGUUGCUGGAAAGAAUUUUGGUCAAGGAUGGACUCGCGGCCUAUCAGCUUGUUGGUGAGGUAACGGCUCACCAAGGCGACGACGGGUAGCCGGCCUGAGAGGGUGACCGGCCACACUGGGACUGAGACACGGCCCAGACUCCUACGGGAGGCAGCAGUGGGGAAUAUUGCACAAUGGGCGAAAGCCUGAUGCAGCAACGCCGCGUGAGGGACGACGGCCUUCGGGUUGUAAACCUCUUUUAGCAGGGAAGAAGCGAAAGUGACGGUACCUGCAGAAAAAGCACCGGCUAACUACGUGCCAGC
rnacentral:rRNA from 1 species